GCUCCUAUGGCUCAGUUGGUAGAGCGCGGCACUAGUAACUGAUCCUCAUCAGUGAUGCCGAGGUCCUCAGUUCAAAUCUGAGUGGGAGCA